GAGCACUGAAAAAGCCUCAAUAGCAACCACCGUUAUUUCAUCACAAUUCACACAUGAAUAACUUAGAAUACUAAAUCAUAGAAAAUAAAGACGAAUAAAAGAUACCACACUAUCAGUUCCUUUCCUCUCCUAAAUUAGAAAACACUAUAAAUCAUAAUACCUGAUUCUAGCUUCAACUUGGAAUACUUUAAUGUAGAAAUGACAAUAAUCAAAAGGACACUACCUCCUUUUGCUUUUGCUUUUGCUUUAUUUUUUCUCCUUCCAAGCAGUGCCCGUUUUGGCCCGUGGAUAUCGGAACCUGGUUUCAGCCCUGGGGUGAGCCGGGCCGGGCAGUGCGGAAGGGGGUGGGAGGGAACAGCGGUAGCGGGCCGGGUCUGAGGAGGCACUGUCUGGUAGUUUGUCGGCCCCUGUGCCCGUGCAGAGGCGUCCAUUCUGCACCCACUUCCGCGAAUGAUCCCAUUACCGCCUCUGUCCACUCCUGCCACAUCUGGCUCUUUUCGGCUCUGUUGCUUCUGACUUAGAUUUCAAUAAUGAAGUAGGUGGAAAGGAAAAGAGAAAAAGAACAAGAGAUAAACAUACACAAAGUAGAGAAAGACAGAAGUAGAGGAAGUGGAAGGAAGAAGAAGAAGAAGAAGAAGAAGCAGAAGAAAACAGAAAACCAGAUGCAUGAUUGUGUGAAAAACCAUGUUUAGCGUGUGAGAAUGAAGCUCCGUGAGUUAGGGUUGUUUGUGUCGUGGAGUUCUAUGUUUAUUCACACAGGAGGGGUGGAAUUAGGGUUUCCGGAGGAGGGAGUCCAAAGGUGUGGACUGUAUGUAUAAAAAGCCAAACUGACAUCAAUGGGGGAAGCAAAAUCGGUGGUGGUGGAGGUGAGAGGUGGGAGGUGGGAGGUGGUGAUUGUUUGUCUUUGUCUUUUCUCGAGAGUCCCACUUUCUGCCAGACAAGCUUUUGGGUUGUCUCGGGUGAGUAACAUGUGAGGCUCUUCCACUUCCAAUCGGACUUCCACCUGUCAAAAAGUCUGCAAAACUUCCUCGCCAUUGGUGGAGGGGGGAAACUCUGAAGUUAGUGAAGUAAAGCAGCCAUGAAUACCCACCUUGAAUCGUGUUUCUGAAACUCAAAUCGGAUCGAAUUCUGUCAUUUUGGGAAUCCUCGCAGAAUGUGUUCGGUUAAGGUUGAAUCUUCAAACUGUAAAUUUUUCGUUGUUUUAAGGACCCAUGCAUCCGGUUUCUUAGAUUUACUCGCUACAGAAGUCAUGCUUUCAGUGGAAAGGCGAUGCCACCAAAAGCCUAAGUGAAGAAGCACCAACAGACAACAGCGUGGACCUCCUUCUGACAGAUUCGGAGUCAUCCAGAUGAGCCUGUUGGCUUCUCUUUCGCUCGCUCGAUCUCUUUCUCGUCUGUCUUCUUUCCACUGUUUGGAAUGUCCAGUUUUUCAUGCAGAAAGUUGUACAGUUGGCUACGAUAAGGGGCUUGGAUGUCCUUCAUUCCAGCGGUUUUCCAUUUCUGUUUUUUCUUUCUUGUCCUUCUGAAGUUUUCUGAGUGCCACCUUUCCGCAGAGUUUCUUUAGGUGUGGGGCACAAGGAGGAGGACGAGGGGCUUUAGAUUCUUGUAGGUGGUUGUGGAGCUCAGAAUCGUGGGCAGCAGCAUUGUUGUGGUCUGUCGUAUUCGCAGACCUGGCAGAAGAUGGGGCCUAUUUGUCGUAGGCAUUCAAGAGCCCGAAGGGAGAGGGUACGGCAAAAAGGAUCCUGAUUUGUUGUGCUGGUGAAGGCUGACCUUGCGAAGGUCGGGCAGCUCUGAGGCAGGAUCCGAUUUGCGCAGAGCAUUCAAUGACCGCACCCAGACAGCUUCAUAUCUCGUGGUGCCAACGGGGUUAUGAAAAAACAGAUUUUGUAGGUGGAAACCACCGAUCCUCUUGCCAUCAAGCUGCAACGUAAAAAGGGUACAAAACUAGUUCAUAGAUUCCCUAAUUAGGUUGACAGGGACUUUGUCCUCCCUCUGCAAGAGCAAUCCUUUCAAAGGUCGAGGAAGUCCCACAAAGGUGUCUGCAGAGGAAAGGGGGAGUUUGUGAGGAUGCUCUCAAGCAGGUACUCAGUGAGAUCCAGACAAGUUGUUUUUGAUGAAAAGAAAUAAAUAUUGACAGCACGAGAGGUUCUGCAAAGUUGGGGAACUCAUGACGGGUGUGUGCGCGCGCACAAGGAGUCAGGAUUCAAUCCAGCAAGUCAAAAUAAUCGAAGUUCAGGGCGAAUUGCAGCACUCAUUAUUCUAUACUCAGUGAUCAUGGCCCCAGUCGUAAAAAUGGCAGAGUCUGCAUUUGUAACCAGUCAGAAGUAGAGGGUUUUAUGACUAUUGAGAGAAAAAAUUGAGCAUGUAAUUUUUUUUUAAAUGGGAGAUAAUAAAAUUGGCCCACUCGAUGGGAGGAUA